rnacentral:sRNA from 1 species
ACCAGGUGUGGUGGCUCAUGCCUGUAAUCCCAGCAGCUCAGGAGGCUGAGGCAGGAGGAUCACGAGUUCAAAGCCAGCCUCAGCCAAAGUGAGUCACUAAACAACUCAGUGAGACCCUGUCUCUA